GUGGAUCUCGUAGGAAAGAUUAGUAAAGCAGUUCAUGAAUAAGACGUACCUCCGUAGUUAGUAGUGCCGUCCUGUUUUUGAUCCCGCGAUUUCUGUUUUUCCGUAAAACGCCGACCAACGUCACAAGGGCGGAUGGCGGCAGAUAAAAUGAUUGAUUUCAGGAAGUUUAAGUAUGUCUACUACUACCGGUACUGUUAAGUUCUUCAACGAAGCAAAAGGCUUUGGCUUUAUUACUCGUGAAGGCGGCCCGGACGUUUUUGUUCACUACAGCGCUAUUCAGGGCAGCGGUUUCAAAACCCUGGCAGAAGGCCAGCAGGUUGAGUUCACCGUUACCCAGGGCCAGAAAGGUCCUCAGGCGGAGAACGUUGUUGCUCUCUAAUCCCUGAUGGAUUAGGCAAUAACCGCCAAAAAGGCAGCUUCGGCUGCCUUUUUUUG
rnacentral:sRNA from 1 species